rnacentral:tRNA from 2 species
UACGGACUAAAAUCCGUUGGCUUUUAUAGACCAUGAGGGUUCAAGUCCCUCUACCCCCA